rnacentral:rRNA from 1 species
AGUGAACGCUGGCGGUAGGCCUAACACAUGCAAGUCGAACGGCAGCACAGUAAGAGCUUGCUCUUACGGGUGGCGAGUGGCGGACGGGUGAGGAAUACAUCGGAAUCUACUUUUUCGUGGGGGAUAACGUAGGGAAACUUACGCUAAUACCGCAUACGACCUACGGGUGAAAGCAGGGGAUCUUCGGACCUUGCGCGAUUGAAUGAGCCGAUGUCGGAUUAGCUAGUUGGCGGGGUAAAGGCCCACCAAGGCGACGAUCCGUAGCUGGUCUGAGAGGAUGAUCGGCCACACUGGAACUGAGACACGGUCCAGACUCCUACGGGAGGCAGCAGUGGGGAAUAUUGGACAAUGGGCGCAAGCCUGAUCCAGCCAUACCGCGUGGGUGAAGCAGGCCUUCGGGUUGUAAAGCCCUUUUGUUGGGAAAGAAAAGCAGCAGGUUAAUACCCCGCUGUUCUGACGGUACCCAAAGAAUAAGCACCGGCUAACUUCGUG